CAUUACUGCUGACGUUAUCUUCGAUGUAAAUAUGUUAUCUUUGUUUUUCUAAUUUUCAUAAAAAAUUUUACGAAACAAGGCAAUAUUUCAUACUCUAUCGAUAAAUUGUUUGCCUAUUGUUUGACGUACCUAGAUAAUGUAGAAAAGUGUUUAACACGUUCACUACUAACAUCACAUGUCUGUGACACAACGAUUUCCAUUGAAAGCUCAGCAUCACAGACAUGUAACGAAGUCAAUUUUUAUGUUAUUUCUGCAUAAAUAAAUAAAAACCUAGAACUUUGAAAAAAGUACCAGGUUGUGAGUGAAUUAUUUAAAAAUAUUACAAAAUGGCGGCGUUGUAGCUGAUGAUAUAGAGAUCCUCCGCCGGAACGCGCGUCGUUGAUCGGAAGCAGAUCUCUGUAAUGGUGUAUUUGAAAAAAAAAAAAAUGUGUUCUUAUUCGUGAAUGUUGUGACUAUAAAGUAGCGUACGGAUUUUUUGUUAUCUUGAGAAAUGAGCGGUGAGUAAAUACUGUUUCUAUAUAAAAAUUUAACAAAAAAAAAAUUAAUAUUAAAAAACUAAUAAACAUAUUGCAAAAAUCAUACGCUACUUUCUAAAUAAUGUAACUGAGAGUAUUGUUUCAAACUUUCAAAUCAAUCAGUCCAGUAGUUUUCGAGAUUUCUUUCUGGUUAAAAAAAUGUAGUUUCGAGAAAAACGCAAAAGAAAAUAAGUAUCCGGUUAUUUGGAUAAUAAAAUGGUUUUUUUUUGCUCGCACUUAAUCAGCGAUUCCUGGUCCAUAUGACGUUCCUUCAGCAGUAAAAUUAGCAUCUUGAAAUUUUUUUUGAAAUGAUCUGCGAACUUGGCGAGCGUUUUUCAUAUUUUUUUAUGCUUGGAUCUUCGAGGUAUCACAACGUUGCUUAUCGACUUUCAUGUAUAAUUCGUAGUAGCAAUGCCCGAUUUGCAGAUGCAUCAAGUUCAUCAUCGAUAGAAUGCUUUUAUAGCCAUCGUAUACAAGCUUUGCAGUACGAAGAUUUAACUAUUAAAUUUAUCACUUUGCCCAAGUAAUACUCAAUAAUCAUCGAUACGCCGUAAAGCGAAGAAAAGUUUCAUUCGCAUCAAGUUCCGUCUCCAGAAACAGUCAAAUCUGAGCCUUUUCCCAUUUCUGCUGUCAAUUUUUAUUCCUUCUUCACAGCAUUUUCCAUUGACAUCUUGCAGACACAUUUUAUGCAGCAGUACUAAUUUGUUCGGUAUCGUAAAACGACUGGUACAUCGCUUUCGGUAAAUCCAUAAUUCCAUGAAAUUUUUAUAUUCCUCAUAAACCAAUUCCUAACAAUCAGAAUGCUAAAAUAAUUCAUCUGUUUAUGUCAUACUCUUUAUUUUUUAUGAGAGGACUAGAAUUGACACUGGUUGCUUCGCAGGAGUCACACGAAAGCAUUAAUGUAAAACCGAGUCCACAAAUUCUUACGACUCUAUGAACGUCAUUGUUGCAUGCCUUACACUUCACAACAUUACUAAUUACAGAAAAACCGAUGAUAAAGUUUAGAAUUCCGUACAUAUACAAAAGGAUACAAUAGAACAGAUAAGCGUGCCGAGUAUGGGUCCAACCGUGCGUCUCACUGUUCGCAGCUAUCCGACCGUUCUAUCUAGAAACAUCUAUAACUCUGUCAAUUUUUCGAAUUUUAAUACCGGAUAUGACUUAAAUUGUUCGCAAAACUUCAAAGUUAAUAAAAAUGCAAAAAAAGAAUCAAUUUUUUCAAACUUCUUGGGUAGUCAGAUCUCUUAAGUCUCGUUUAAUAAUUCGAUUUUUCUUCCUCUCUCCUAGAUUGGUACUGUUAGCAAUGUGAUUGGUACUAUUAAUAUAUCAAAAAUAUUUAAAAAAAUAGGCUAAUGAUCUUAGCAAUUGUGAAAGUAAAUGUAACUAUCGAUGAUCAACAAACUCAUGAGAAUCCAGAAGAUCUGUUUCAAAAUUAUUGAAUGAAUAUUUCAAGCUUUUCCCGUUUAUUCAAAAACGAAAAUUAUAUUUAAUGUGAAAUAUUUAAUUUAUAUUUAAUACGAAAAUUAGUGCAGAUACUGUAUUAGUCAUACAUGGAAUAAAAUUUGUAUCAAUGCUAUGGAUCAUUAUGUUCCACAUGAUGUUCUUCACGUACAACUACACUGACAAUAAAUCUUUAUCCUGGAGGAAAAUGGAAGAUUUUGUUAUCUAGAUGUUAACCAACGAGAAUUUGGCAGUUGAUACAUUGUUCUUCCUAAAUGGUUUCCUCGUCGAUUAAGUGAAUUUAACGAAUGAAAAAAGCAAGAAUGAAUUCGUUCAAUCACAUAGCUAAAACUAAAAUCUUCUUCCUGGGUAUUUUAAAAAGAUUUGUCAGAUAGGAUAAUUUUCAAGUAUAAUAAAAAAUUUAAUUAUUUUUAGAAACUUAUUUGUUAAUUCUUCUAAUGUAAUUUAAUAUCGGCUUAUAUGAUGGCAUUAGAAUUAUUUACAAUAAAUUCCAUGUGAUUUAAUAAGAACUCGUUAUUUUACAUGAGAUAUCGAUCACAUGAAAUAUGUCCGAAGUAUUAGUAGAGGAAUAUAUUUUAUAUUCAAAAUUUCUUUCAUAUGAAGACCAUGCUAUGAACAUUUGUUUAUUAAUAAUUGAUUGACACACAAUAUUCAGUGUAUGAACGAUUACUUAUGAAUAUUUAUUUUUACGGUGUAUGAUCUGGAACUGGUACAUGGUAAACAAUAUGCAGUUCUUUGCAAUUGGCACAUUACUGCUACUUACUCGUAUUUUCAAUGUAUUUCAAUAUGGCAGUCUGUUUGCUAAGUCUAUUUCUUAUCGACGAUUAUAAUGGGUUAUAUCUCCUAUAUCUACGAUUAUAUUCCUACAUUGGACUAACAGUACCAUCUCGUUAUAUAUUUGUGUGUGCUUCUUCAUUGAUGUGUGUUUUUUCAUUGAUGUUCGAAAUACCAUACAUCCUUUUGAUGAAACAAAUUAUUAAUUAUAUACGCUGAUAAAAACAAAUGGUUGAUAUCUUCAUGCUUAUGCAAACUGAUAUAACUUUCUUUCCAUGUUUUGUAAUUUAUUAGUCCAUAUAUGUUUGUUUUUUCUCGUGAUUCAAUGCAUUUCUUUCUAAAUUACAUACUGUUAAUUAGAAAGAAUUAUUUUAAAAGAAGUAAUUAUUGUGAAUAAUUGAUUGAACGAGACGCAACACAGACGGAAUCCAACGCAAAGAAACGCAUUUCAUGAUUUUUAUACGAAGUUACGCGAAUAAUGCAAACCUAAUCCCUCGAUGAUGGAAUGAGCUGCUCGAUGAUACAUCGGACCUUUGUCGAUAUAUCAAACUUUCAUCAACAAUUCGCCUCAUUGACGAUGAAUCCAUCCCAUGAUGACCCCGCGCAAAGAAGAAGAGGAAGAAAAAAAAGAAAUCCGGAAGAUGCGAUAGAACGCGUGCGAGCAUGAGAACGAUGGAAAUGAUAAUGAGGCAUGAACAUUUUGAAGAUCGGUCUAGUCGAACAAAAUCAGUAUCCAAAUCGAGAUCAAUUUUUCCUUACUGAAAGAAGGAGACCUGUCCAACUUCUUUGUCCGACUUUUUCCAAAGAACUCCUUCCAAGGGCUCAUACCCGAAGGUCCCAUCAGAGAGUUCGACACAAUAAAUAUUUUUCCCUAUUGAAAGAAAACAACCUACUCAAGGAUCUAUGCUCAAGAAUUUCACCCGAGAGAAACUAAUAUAAUUAAAGUAGAAUAAUCGUUUCAACUAGUAGAAUUAAGUGGCUAUCUGUUUCAAUAACUAGAAAAAAGUGUUUGUUUACUCAUUCCAAAAAAUUCUGAGAACUGUUCCUAUUAUCCGAAUUACUAUCGAAAUUAAGUAAAAUACGUUCAUAAG